rnacentral:tRNA from 1 species
GCUGAUAUAGCUCAGUUGGUAGAGGUCGGCGGUUCAAAUCCGCCUAUCAGCACCA